UGGAGCUUGCUCCAUGAUUCAGCGGCGGACGGGUGAGUAAUGCCUAGGAAUCUGCCUGGUAGUGGGGGACAACGUUUCGAAAGGAACGCUAAUACCGCAUACGUCCUACGGGAGAAAGUGGGGGAUCUUCGGACCUCACGCUAUCAGAUGAGCCUAGGUCGGAUUAGCUAGUUGGUGAGGUAAAGGCUCACCAAGGCGACGAUCCGUAACUGGUCUGAGAGGAUGAUCAGUCACACUGGAACUGAGACACGGUCCAGACUCCUACGGGAGGCAGCAGUGGGGAAUAUUGGACAAUGGGGGAAAGCCUGAUCCAGCCAUCCCGCGUGUGUGAAGAAGGUUUUCGGAUUGUAAAGCACUUUAAGUUGGGAGGAAGGGCAGUAAGUUAAUACCUUGCUGUUUUGACGUUACCAACAGAAUAAGCACCGGCUAACUUCGUGCCAGCAGCCGCGGUAAUACGAAGGGUGCAAGCGUUAAUCGGAAUUACUGGGCGUAAAGCGCGCGUAGGUGGUUCGUUAAGUUGGAUGUGAAAGCCCCGGGCUCAACCUGGGAACUGCAUCCAAAACUGGCGAGCUAGAGUAUGGCAGAGGGUGGUGGAAUUUCCUGUGUAGCGGUGAAAUGCGUAGAUAUAGGAAGGAACACCAGUGGCGAAGGCGACCACCUGGGCUAAUACUGACAC
rnacentral:rRNA from 1 species